GCAACCCUCUGUGCAGCGAAAGAAAGAAACAGGAUUAAAAAAAAAAAAAAAAAAAAAAAGGGGGGAAAAAAAGGC
rnacentral:ribozyme from 1 species